rnacentral:rRNA from 1 species
UACGGAGGAUGCGAGCGUUAUCCGGAUUUAUUGGGUUCAAAGGGUGCGUAGGCGGCUUUUUAAGUCAGCGGUGAAAUUUUGCAGCUUAACUGUAACAGUUGCCGUUGAUACUGGGGAGCUAGGAUUUGGUUGCUGUGGGGUGGAAUGUGUGGUGUAGCGGUGAAAUGCUUAGAGAUCACACAGAAUAUCGAUUGCGAAGGCAGCUCACAAAGCCAAGAUUGACGCUGAGGCACGAAAGUGUGGGGAUCAAACAGGA